ensembl:lncRNA
UAAUAUUAAUAUUUAAUUAACAUUAAAGGAUGGUUUUAGAAUAUAAAGAAAAGAAUGUUAGUCAAUGUGCCUUGUACCACUUACCAUAAACAUUAAUUAGGCUAUAGCAAAACUGUAUAUACCUUUAGAAUUCCUCCCCUUCCUUUAGGUAUAAUGCUGAUUUUUCUCCCUCAAAUUUAAUCAACAUACAGGAGUAAAUUUGAACAUAUGAGAUACAUUGUGAAAGGAAAUAUUAUUCUUGUGUAUGUUGGGGUCGAACACUAAAAUAAAAAGAAUUUUUAAGGGGCAUAUCAAUUAAUGUCAAAAGACUGAUCAAGAAAACUAAUUUUUCUAAAUAAAAUUAAUACACCACUGUACUUUGAAAUGAUUUAUAUUUUGUUGCCCAUGCACUUAAAAUUUUUUUAAUUUUUUUCAAGUAAAGAUCGAAUAUUUUCUUGUUCAAGAAGCUUGUUGAUAGCUUUUAAUCUUCUCUGUGAAAAAAUGAUGCAAAGAAGAGUCCAGAACCUCGAUUUAUUUUCUUGUCAAAUAGACAAAGAUCGAAUAUUUUCUUGUUCAAGAAGCUUGUUGAUAGCUUUUAAUCUUCUCUGUGAAAAAAUGAUGCAAAGAAGAGUCCAGAACCUCGAUUUAUUUUCUUGUCAAAUAGACAAAGGUGACAACGAACUGGGGCUUUGUACUUGUAUCUUCUUUGAUCCAGCAGAUGAGGAUGGAAAGGAACCAGGGGUUUUUAUAACUGAAAUUAUUGAAGGAGGUGCAGUUCACAAACUUGGAUGUAUCCGUGUAUUUGACCAGAUUAUUAAAAUAGGUGACAUCAAUCUAAUUGGAUUGGAUGAAGCAGAAAUCGUCUCUACUUUUAAAAAAAUGGACGAUUCUCCUUUCCAGAUUGAAAUUGGCCGCGAACCACCUAAAGUGAAGUCAGAACUUAUCGAACUCCUCGAGUUGUCAGAGGAAAGGAAGAAAUAUUUUAUGGAUUCGCUCAUAGUACAGGAAAAAAUUAGAGAUAUCACUAUUGUGAGAGGACAAGCAAGUAUUUGUAGAAGUCCAAGAGUACCAUGGUACUGGAUGGCCAGUGACCUGAAAUUUGUUAUUGGGGCACUGAAAAUAUUAAUAGAAGAAGAUCAGGGAUGUAGAAAAAACAUCCAAGCUAUCUUUGAGCAGGCUAACAUUUUUCAAGACAAAUAUAAAGACAUGAACACAUACAAAGUGAAUAUGGAACAGAAACCUGAUGAAUCAAAUAAAGAAGGCACAUUUUUACCAUUGGCCCCAGAAGAAGAAUUAUUACUAGAACAAUUUAAAAUAAAACCUAAAGAGAUAAAAAAUGAAGAUUUAUCACCAGGGCAAUUAUUAGCCCAAGGGGAUUUCAAUUCAGAGACUCCAAUAAAAAAAGAAAAAGAAGAAGAUGAAAUAGUAGUGGAGGAAGAGAUUAUUAGCACUGGAAAACCUACAGAGGGAAAGGCUAAAAAGAGAUUUUCCUGGUUCCACAAUAUCAAAGAAUGCAAGCUGUGGAACUUCUUUCAUUUUAAAAAACAUGACAAACAAGUAAAGAAUGUGCACAAGUGGGAAGAAAUUGAUCAAGAGGUAUUGGAUGAUUACUGUCCUUAUUCUACUGAAGCCCCUAAAACAUUGCCAACAGAGUGGACAAAUAUUGAAGUUGGUAAUUGGUUAUGGAGCAUUGGAAUGGAGGAGUAUGUUGUAAAAUUUUAUUGUAAAGGAAUAAAUGGUGAAAAACUCCUUACACUGGACAAUCGCUCUCUAAAAGAAAUCGAAGUCAACAGGAAGAAAGACCGCCGGAAAAUACUUAAGGCUAUUAAGAAAGUUAGAGAUUUUUGGGAAAAAAAUCAUCAUUUCGUCUUACUAUAG